rnacentral:tRNA from 1 species
AAAAAGGUAAGCUAAUAUUAAGCUAAUGGGUUCAUACCCCAUCUAUAAAAAUUUUAAUUUUUUUCUUUUUA